rnacentral:rRNA from 1 species
AUUGAACGCUGGCGGCAUGCUUUACACAUGCAAGUCGAACGGUAACAGGUUAAGCUGACGAGUGGCGAACGGGUGAGUAAUGCAUCGGAACGUGCCCGAUCGUGGGGGAUAACACUUCGAAAGAAGUGCUAAUACCGCAUACGAUCUGAGGAUGAAGGCGGGGGGCCGUAAGGCCUCGCGCGAUCGGAGCGGCCGAUGUCAGAUUAGGUAGUUGGUGGGGUAAAGGCUCACCAAGCCGACGAUCUGUAGCUGGUCUGAGAGGACGACCAGCCACACUGGGACUGAGACACGGCCCAGACUCCUACGGGAGGCAGCAGUGGGGAAUUUUGGACAAUGGGCGCAAGCCUGAUCCAGCAAUGCCGCGUGCAGGAAGAAGGCCUUCGGGUUGUAAACUGCUUUUGUACGGAGCGAAAAGGCUCCCUCUAAUACAGGGGGCUCAUGACGGUACCGUAAGAAUAAGCACCGGCUAACUACGUGCCAGCAGCCGCCGUAA